GAAUCUCAUAGAUCUAAGAUUGGUUGGAUACAUGUUGGAACUAUUCAGAUUUUGAUUAAGUCUACUUUUCGUAGAAAUAUCCACUGCCCUGUUAGAAUUGCUGUGAUUGAUAAUAGAAUGACUAAAAACUGUGAUAAGAUACUUGGGGUAAUUACUGGAGAUCUUGGAUAUGGAGUUGUUAAAUUCGAUGUUACUUGUAAUUAUGCUGCUCCGCUUGCAUCUAGUUGUUUUAAUAAUUCGAUUGGAAUCUGGUUUGAAUUAAUGAAUAAAGAUAUUAUGCAAGAAACUGAUAUUCCGUUUUCUAUUACUUAUGCUACAUCUUAUGGUUUAAGCAACUCUCAGAUUGAUUAUGAAGACAAAUUUAAGCUACAGAGUUUUUAUCCAGUUUGGAGGAACAUCUGAUGAUGAAAGCUUAGCUAGUUUUAGAACUUCUAAUUUAGUAAGUGCUCAACAGAAGCUUUGCAUGGAACAAAUAAAAACAUUAAUUGAUAUUGGUGAAUUGAAACCUUCGGAAACCUAUUUUAAUGGAAUCGAUAUUAUGAACUGUCCCCAUGGCAAAUUUGCCAUCAAGAACGUAAUCAAGGCUCUGAUACCAAGUUUUUACACGCGGAAUUGAAGAAAUGGCGGAAAAACAACUAUGUAGGCAUAUGCAGGGGUCUCCAGCAGCUGGGACAAAAUACUCGUGUUUUAUACAAGUCAGAAAACAUCCUUUUGAUUUCUACGCCUUUUGGACACAAGAUCAAUCCAGUUCAUGAAAAGGCUGUUUUAGAUUUUGAGAGGCCAAUUCUUGACUUAGAAGCUUGCAAGCCAGCCAUGAAGGAGAUUUUAUGUAGCUGUUUAAAUGGAAGCAACGGUGAAGAAAUUGGAAACCACCGAUGUAGCUGUUGCCGUGCAUCUUUGGAUGGCUCUAGACACUCUGAAGAAGCAUCCGAGGAAGCUGCAGAUGAGGCCCAUUCAGAAGCCUCUCUGGAAUUGAUUACUGAGUGACGCAUUCAAUGACGUCACGUGGAAGCUUGCGUCAGCCAUGACGCUCUAGUGGAAACCAGCUGUCUUCACAGCUGUUGUGUCGGUUUGUCCCGACGCGUCUUUUACUUUUUGUGGCUCUGACACGAUGUGCUGUCAUCCACUACUUUUACUUUUUCUUUAAUGACUGACAUCUUUUGUCGGCCAUCCGCUUUUGAUUUUAGAUCUGAAUCUUAGCCGUUGGCUAUCAACGACUAGGAUGCGUCUGUUUUAGCUAUUUAUAGACGCUCUCCCGUCUGUCAUAAGGGAGCGAAAUAGAAGAGUGAGCUUGAAGGUUGGGUUGAAGAGGCGCCGCCACAGGAUAAGAGAAAUGGCGGAAAAACAACUAUGUAGGCAUAUGCAGGGGUCUCCAGCAGCUGGGACAAAAUACUCGUGUUUUAUACAAGUCAGAAAACAUCCUUUUGAUUUCUACGCCUUUUGGACACAAGAUCAAUCCAGUUCAUGAAAAGGCUGUUUUAGAUUUUGAGAGGCCAAUUCUUGACUUAGAAGCUUGCAAGCCAGCCAUGAAGGAGAUUUUAUGUAGCUGUUUAAAUGGAAGCAACGGUGAAGAAAUUGGAAACCACCGAUGUAGCUGUUGCCGUGCAUCUUUGGAUGGCUCUAGACACUCUGAAGAAGCAUCCGAGGAAGCUGCAGAUGAGGCCCAUUCAGAAGCCUCUCUGGAAUUGAUUACUGAGUGACGCAUUCAAUGACGUCACGUGGAAGCUUGCGUCAGCCAUGACGCUCUAGUGGAAACCAGCUGUCUUCACAGCUGUUGUGUCGGUUUGUCCCGACGCGUCUUUUACUUUUUGUGGCUCUGACACGAUGUGCUGUCAUCCACUACUUUUACUUUUUCUUUAAUGACUGACAUCUUUUGUCGGCCAUCCGCUUUUGAUUUUAGAUCUGAAUCUUAGCCGUUGGCUAUCAACGACUAGGAUGCGUCUGUUUUAGCUAUUUAUAGACGCUCUCCCGUCUGUCAUAAGGGAGCGAAAUAGAAGAGUGAGCUUGAAGGUUGGGUUGAAGAGGCGCCGCCACAGGAUAAGAGGUAAUUCCGCCGGCACAGCCAUAUCCCCUGGAGCCUAGCUGCUCUUACUAUCUAGUUCCCACUCUUAGGAGUGUAUUUAUCUGUUUGAUUUCCUGUAUACAGUUUGAUCUUGAAUAAAUUGUGUGAAGUAUUAUUCAUAAUUAUGAGCAUGAAUCAUCCGUUGCCCAUCUA